AGUGAACGCUGGCGGCGUGCCUAAUACAUGCAAGUCGAACGGAGUGGCGCACGGGUGAGUAAUGUAUAGCUAAUCUGCCCUACACUAGAGGACACCAGUUGGAAACGGCUGCUAAUACUCUAUAGUGUAGGAUGAGGCUAUAUUGUAUCAGGUAGUUGGUGAUGUAAUGGCUCACCAAGGCUAUGAUGAAUAACUGGUCUGAGAGGAUAAUCAGUGACACUGGAACUGAGGCACGGACCAGAAUCCUUCGGGAGUCCGCAGUAGGGAAUAUUGCUCAAUGGGGGAAACCCUGAAGCAGCAACGCCGCGUGGAGGAUGACACUUUUCGGAACGUAAACUCCUUUUGUUAGGGAAGCGGUACCUAACGAAUAAGCACCGGCUAACUCCGUGCCAGCAGCCGCGGUAAUUC
rnacentral:rRNA from 1 species